rnacentral:rRNA from 1 species
UUUGUGGAGGGUUCGAUUCUGGCUCAGGAUGAACGCUGGCGGCGUGCUUAACACAUGCAAGUCGAACGGGAUCCAUCAGGCUUUGCUUGGUGGUGAGAGUGGCGAACGGGUGAGUAAUGCGUGACCGACCUGCCCCAUGCACCGGAAUAGCUCCUGGAAACGGGUGGUAAUGCCGGAUGCUCCAUCACACUGCAUGGUGUGUUGGGAAAGCCUUUGCGGCAUGGGAUGGGGUCGCGUCCUAUCAGCUUGAUGGCGGGGUAACGGCCCACCAUGGCUUCGACGGGUAGCCGGCCUGAGAGGGCGACCGGCCACAUUGGGACUGAGAUACGGCCCAGACUCCUACGGGAGGCAGCAGUGGGGAAUAUUUGAGUGUACCUUUCGAAUAAGCACCGGCUAACUACGUGCCAGCAGCCGCGGUAAUACGUAGGGUGCAAGCGUUAUCCGGAAUUAUUGGGCGUAAAGGGCUCGUAGGCGGUUCGUCGCGUCCGGUGUGAAAGUCCAUCGCUUAACGGUGGAUCCGCGCCGGGUACGGGCGGGCUUGAGUGCGGUAGGGGAGACUGGAAUUCCCGGUGUAACGGUGGAAUGUGUAGAUAUCGGGAAGAACACCAAUGGCGAAGGCAGGUCUCUGGGCCGUUACUGACGCUGAGGAGCGAAAGCGUGGGGAGCGAACAGGAUUAGAUACCCUGGUAGUCCACGCCGUAAACGGUGGAUGCUGGAUGUGGGGCCCGUUCCACGGGUUCCGUGUCGGAGCUAACGCGUUAAGCAUCCCGCCUGGGGAGUACGGCCGCAAGGCUAAAACUCAAAGAAAUUGACGGGGGCCCGCACAAGCGGCGGAGCAUGCGGAUUAAUUCGAUGCAACGCGAAGAACCUUACCUGGGCUUGACAUGUUCCCGAC